rnacentral:rRNA from 1 species
GAUGAACGCUGGCGGCAGGCUUAACACAUGCAAGUCGAACGCAUCCUUCGGGGUGAGUGGCAGACGGGUGAGUAACGCGUGGGAACGUGCCCUUCAGUUCGGGAUAACCCAGGGAAACUUGGGCUAAUACCGGAUACGUGCGAGAGCAGAAAGAUUUAUCGCUGAAGGAUCGGCCCGCGUCUGAUUAGCUAGUUGGUGGGGUAAUGGCCCACCAAGGCGACGAUCAGUAGCUGGUCUGAGAGGAUGAUCAGCCACAUUGGGACUGAGACACGGCCCAAACUCCUACGGGAGGCAGCAGUGGGGAAUAUUGGACAAUGGGCGCAAGCCUGAUCCAGCCAUGCCGCGUGAGUGAUGAAGGCCUUAGGGUUGUAAAGCUCUUUCGUCCGGGACGAUAAUGACGGUACCGGAAGAAGAAGCCCCGGCUAACUUCGUGCCAGCCGCCGCAGUAA